GCUAACCGAUACUAAUAGCUCGAUUGAUUUACUUUGCUGUGAGAUUACAUAUGCAUAUAGUGUUAAUGUUAUAAGAGUGUAUAUCAACUCACAAAGUUAUCAGGUUAAAUAGCUUUAUCAACUAAUAAAAAUGUUAUUGCAUAACUAAUAUUAUACUGUAUGUAGCCCCGCCACGAUAUCCAGCAAAAAUUAUUUUGCUAAGUAUCGUAGUAAAAGUUAAGAUAAACAAUUUUUUUGAGUUGUGCAACAACAUUAACAGUAAACUAUAAUACAAGUCUAUCUUUUGUAAGGA
rnacentral:rRNA from 1 species